rnacentral:rRNA from 1 species
CUACGUGCCAGCAGCCGCGGUAAUACGGAGGGUGCGAGCGUUAAUCGGAAUAACUGGGCGUAAAGGGCACGCAGGCGGUGACUUAAGUGAGGUGUGAAAGCCCUGGGCUUAACCUGGGAAUUGCAUUUCAUACUGGGUCGCUAGAGUACUUUAGGGAGGGGUAGAAUUCCACGUGUAGCGGUGAAAUGCGUAGAGAUGUGGAGGAAUACCGAAGGCGAAGGCAGCCCCUUGGGAAUGUACUGACGCUCAUGUGCGAAAGCGUGGGGAGCAAACAGGAUUAGAUACCCUGGUAGUCCACGCUGUAAACGAUGUCGAUUUGGGGGUUGAGCUUUGAGCUUGGCGCCCGUAGCUAACGUGAUAAAUCGACCGCCUGGGGAGUACGGCCGCAAGGUUAAAACUCAAAUGAAUUGACGGGGGCCCGCACAAGCGGUGGAGCAUGUGGUUUAAUUCGAUGCAACGCGAAGAACCUUACCUACUCUUGACAUCCAGA